rnacentral:rRNA from 1 species
UAGGUAACCUGCCUUGUAGCGGGGGAUAACUAUUGGAAACGAUAGCUAAUACCGCAUAACAAUGGAUGACACAUGUCAUUUAUUUGAAAGGGGCAAUUGCUCCUCUACAAGAUGGACCUGCGUUGUAUUAGCUAGUAGGUGAGGUAAUGGCUCACCUAGGCGACGAUACAUAGCCGACCUGAGAGGGUGAUCGGCCACACUGGGACUGAGACACGGCCCAGACUCCUACGGGAGGCAGCAUG